UAAUACGGAGGGUGCAAGCGUUAUCCGGAUUCACUGGGUUUAAAGGGUGCGUAGGCGGGUGUGUAAGUCCGUGGUGAAAUCUCCGAGCUUAACUCGGAAACUGCCAUGGGUACUGCAUGUCUUGAAUGUUGUGGAGGUGAGCGGAAUAUGUCAUGUAGCGGUGAAAUGCUUAGAUAUGACAUAGAACACCAAUUGCGAAGGCAGCUCACUACACAAAUAUUGACGCUGAGGCACGAAAGCGUGGGGAUCAAACAGGAUUAGAUACCCUGGUAGUCCACGCCCUAAACGAUGAUUACUCGACAUACGCGAUACACUGUGUGUGUCUGAGCGAAAGCAUUAAGUAAUCCACCUGGGAAGUACGACCGCAAGGUUG
rnacentral:rRNA from 1 species